GACGAACGCUGGCGGCGUGCUUAACACAUGCAAGUCGAACGGAAAGGCCCUGCUUUUGUGGGGUGCUCGAGUGGCGAACGGGUGAGUAACACGUGAGUAACCUGCCCUUGACUUUGGGAUAACUUCAGGAAACUGGGGCUAAUACCGGAUAGGAGCUCCUGCUGCCUGGUGGGGGGUGGAAAGUUUCGGCGGUUGGGGGUGGACUCGCGGCUUAUCAGCUUGUUGGUGGGGUAGUGGCUUACCAAGGCUUUGACGGGUAGCCGGCCUGAGAGGGUGACCGGCCACAUUGGGACUGAGAUACGGCCCAGACUCCUACGGGAGGCAGCAGUGGGGAAUAUUGCACAAUGGGCGGAAGCCCGAUGCAGCAACGCCGCGUGCGGGAUGACGGCCUUCGGGUUGUAAACCGCUUUCGCCUGUGACGAAGCGUGAGUGACGGUAAUGGGUAAAGAAGCACCGGCUAACUACGUG
rnacentral:rRNA from 1 species